AUGCUAGUCUCCGAGAACAAUAUCCAGCCUUGUACAACAUUGCUCGCGAUAAGAACAAUACUAUUGCGCAGGUGCUCCGCUCAUCCCCGCCGAAUAUUUCGUUCAGGCGGGAUUUGGUUGGCGUCCGACUUGUCAUGGCAUAAUCUCUUAUCCCGUCUGGAUCUGAUUAACCUGACGCAAGGUCGUGAUGUGUUUCGCUGGAACCUUACUACAUAGGGGUCUUUUACGGUAGACUCUAUGUAUCGUGCGCUCACGCAUUCUGAGGUACCGGAGAGCAAUAACAAGAAAAUCUGGAAGGCAAAGAUUCCACUAAAAGUUAAAAUAUUCAUGUGGUAUCUUCGUAGAGGUGUUGUGCUAACCAAAGACAACCUUGCACGACGCAAGAAGUGUUGUUUUUGUACUCAUAACGAGACAAUCAAACACCUCUUUUUUCAAUGCAAGUUUGCGCGUUCUACGUGGUCAGUCAUCCAAAUAGCGUCAAAUUUGUAUCCGCUCACAAGUGUUGCCAAGAUUUUUGGUUAUUGGUUGGACGGUAUUUCAAAUAGGUUCAAAACGCUAAUAAGGGUGGGAGCGUACGCCUUACUAUGGUUGCUUUGGCUAUGUAGAAACGAUUUGGUUUUUAAUGACAAAAAUGCUUCUCCUCUGCAGGUUAUUUUCCGCUGUACGCACUCGCUUUGUAUGUGGUCUAUGCUACAACGUGCGGAGUACCAACCGCUAUUCAAGGUGGUGUGUACGCGAUUGGAGCAGGUGGCUAUGGAGUUUUUACCCAACAUGGGUGGUAGCAUAAUCUCCGCAUCGGUCCACCAACUGUUUCGACAUAGGCAUAGUGUCGGUCUAUAG
rnacentral:rRNA from 1 species